AAGACUAUACUUUCAGGGAUCAUUUCUAUAGUAUGUUACUAGAGAAGUUUCUCUGAGCGUGUAGAGCACCGAU
rnacentral:snoRNA from 1 species